rnacentral:tRNA from 1 species
AAAAGCCAAGCGGUAAGGCAACGGGUUUUGGUCCCGUUACUCGGAGGUUCGAAUCCUUCCAGUCCAU